UACGUAGGUGGCAAGCGUUGUCCGGAUUUACUGGGCGUAAAGAGCGCGCAGGCGGCUGGUCAAGUCCGAUGUGAAAUCUCCCGGCUCAACUGGGAAACUGCAUCGGAAACUGAUCGGCUUGAAGAUGGGAGAGGGUAGUGGAAUUCCGAGUGUAGAGGUGAAAUUCGUAGAUAUUCGGAAGAACACCAGUGGCGAAGGCGGCUCACUGGCCCGGUACUGACGCUGAGGUGCGAAAGCGUGGGGAGCAAACAGG
rnacentral:rRNA from 1 species